CCCUGGGUGGCUCAGUUGGUUAAGCGUCUGACUUUGGCUCAGGUCAUGAUCUCACAGUUCGCGGGUUCAAGCCCCGCAUCAGGCU
rnacentral:tRNA from 1 species